UUGGGGAUUUAGCUCAGUGGUAGAUUGCUUGCCUAGCAAGCACAAGGCCCUGGGUUCGGUCCUCAGCUCUGGAAA
rnacentral:tRNA from 1 species